UACAGAGGAGCCAAGCGUUGUCCGGAUUGACUGGGCGUAAAGCGCACGCAGGCGGACGCGCGCGUGGGGUGUGAAAUCUGGCCGCUUAACGGCCAGGCGCCAUCCCAUACGGCGCGACUGGAGUGGUGCAGAGGUCGAUGGAAUUGCCGGUGUAGUGGUGAAAUGCGUAGAGAUCGGCAGGAACACCCAGGGGGAAACCAGUCGACUGGGCAUCUACUGACGCUGAGGUGCGAGAGCGUGGGGAGCGAACCGG
rnacentral:rRNA from 1 species